rnacentral:rRNA from 1 species
AUUGAACGCUGGCGGCAUGCCUUACACAUGCAAGUCGAACGGCAGCAUGAUCUAGCUUGCUAGAUUGAUGGCGAGUGGCGCACGGGUGAGUAAUACAUCGGAACGUGCCCUGUAGUGGGGGAUAACUAGUCGAAAGAUUAGCUAAUACCGCAUACGACCUGAGGGUGAAAGUGGGGGACCGCAAGGCCUCAUGCUAUAGGAGCGGCCGAUGUCUGAUUAGCUAGUUGGUGAGGUAAAGGCUCACCAAGGCGACGAUCAGUAGCUGGUCUGAGAGGACGAUCAGCCACACUGGGACUGAGACACGGCCCAGACUCCUACGGGAGGAAGCAGUGGGGAAUUUUGGACAAUGGGCGAAAGCCUGAUCCAGCAAUGCCGCGUGUGUGAAGAAGGCCUUCGGGUUGUAAAGCACUUUUGUCCGGAAAGAAAUGGCUCUGGUUAAUACCUGGGGUCGAUGACGGUACCGGAAGAAUAAGGACCGGCUAACUACGUG